ensembl:lncRNA
ACUACACUAGACCAGUUAGAUAGAGGUGGUGUUAUCAUCCCACACUACACUAGACCAGUUAGAUAGAGGUGGUGUUAUCAUCCCACACUACACCAGUUAGAGGUGGUGUUAUCAUCCCACACUAGACCAGUUAGGUAGAGGUGGUGUUCUCAUCCCCCACUUGACCAGUUAGGUAGAGGUGGUGUUAUCAUCCCACACUAGACCAGUUAGAUAGAGGUGGUGUUAUCAUCCCCCACUUGACCAGUUAGAUAGAGGUGGUGUUAUCAUCCCACACUAGACCAGUCAGAUAGAGGUGGUGUUAUCAUCCCACAUCACACUAGACCAGUUAGGUAGAGGUGGUGUUAUCAUCCCCCACUUGACCAGUUAGAUAGAGGUGGUGUUAUCAUCCCACACUACACUAGACUAGUUAGAUAGAGGUGGUGUUAUCAUCCUACACUACACUAGACCAGUCAGAUAGAGGUGGUGUUAUCAUCCCACACUACACUAGACCAGUUAGAUAGAGGUGGUGUUAUCAUCCUACACUACACUAGACCAGUUAGAUAGAGGUGGUGUUAUCCUCCUACACUACACUAGACAAGUUAGAUAGAGGUGGUGUUAUCAUCCCACACUACACCAAACCAGUUCGGUAGAGGUGGUGUUAUCAUCCCACACCAGACCAGUUAUUUAGAGGAGGUGUUAUCAUCCCACAACAGACCAGCUCGAUAGAGGUGGUGCUAUCAUCCCACAACAAACCAGUUAGAUAGAGGUGGUGUUAUCAUCCCACACUACACCAGACCAGUUCGGUAGAGGUGGUGUUAUCAUCCCACACUACACCAGACCAGUUCGGUAGAGGUGGUGUUAUCAUCCCACACUACACCAGACCAGUUCGGUAGAGGUGGUGUUAUCAUCCCACGCUACACUAGACCAGUUAGGUAGAGGUGGUGUUAUCAUCCCACACUACACUAGACCAGUUAGGUAGAGGUGGUGCUAUCAUCCCACACCAGACCAGUUAGGUAGAGGUGGUGCUAUCAUCCCACACUACACCAGACCAGUUCGGUAGAGGUGGUGUUAUCAUCCCACACUACACCAGACCAGUUAGAUAGAGGUGGUGUUAUCAUCCCACACUACACCAGACCAGUUCGGUAGAGGAGGUGUGUUAGUUUGGUCACAGCUGGGCUGUUAUGUCCAGGCUAUCUCUUUAUUCUUGAUUUAUUUAUAGUCAAGUUGACUGUAAACAAUUUCUAAUUUACAGAAACGACCUGGGGAAUAGUUACAGGGGAUAGGAGAGGGGAGAAAUGAGCCAAUUGGAAGCUGGGGAUGAUUAGGUGACCAUGACGGUACGAGGGCCAGAUUGGAACAGAGCCUGCAGUAAAAUGGCCAUUCUCAUUCUACUUCCCCUUGAUGACCUAAGAGAAUUUGGGAGAUAUGGAAAACCGACAGGAUCCAGAUUCAGGGUUAAAAUCAAUGUCGUUCUAUUCCCUGUACAGUAGAUAUUGUAUUAUCUUUGUUAAUUUAUUUGUUUGAAUCUGAGGUUGUAACCAAACACACAGUUUAUUUCACGGAAUGUAUGUCUGCGUUCCAAAUGGGGGGGUGGGGUCUCGCACAGCAGUCUAAGGCACUGCAUCUCAGUGCUAGAGGCAUCACUGCAGACCCUGGUGUGAUCCCGGGCUGUAUCACACCCGGACGUGAUCGGGAGUCCCAUAGGGUGGUGCAGCGUCGUCCUGGUUUUGGGAGGCCGGUGUAGGCCGUCAUUGUACAUAAGAAUUUGUUCUUAACUGACUUUCCUAGUUAAAUAAAGAUACAAAAUAAUAAUAAUCCUAUUCCAUACAGUUGAAGUCUGAAGUUUACAUACACCUUAGCCAAAUACAUUUCAACUCAGUUUUUCACAAUUCCUGACAUUUAAAUCCUAGUUAAAAUUCCCUGCCUUAGGUCAGUUAGGAUCACUACUUUUUUUUAAAAAUGUUAAAUGUCAGAAUAAUAGUAGAGAGAAUGAUUUAUUUCAGCUUUUAUUUCUUUCAUAACAUUCCCAGUGGUUCAGAAGUUUACAUACACUCAAUUAGUAUUUGGUAGCAUUGCCUUUAAAUUGUUUAACUUGGGUCAAACGUUUCGGGUAGCCUUCCACAAGCUUCCUACAAUAAGUUGGGUGAAUUCUUUUUGCAGCAACAACCUGGGGAAUAGUUACAGGGAAGGGAAAGGGGAUGAAUGAGCCAAUUGUAACCUGGGGAUUAUUAGGUGACCGUGAUGGUUUGAGGCCCAGAUUGGGAAUUUAGCCAGGACACCGUGGUUAACACCCCUACUCUUACAAUAAGUGCCAUGGGAUCUUUAAUGACCUGAGAGUCAGGACACCCAUUUAACGUCCCAUCUGAAAGACGGCACCCUACACAGGGCAAUGUCCCCAAUCACUGCCCUGGGGCAUUGGGAUAUUUUUUUAGACUAGAGGAAAGAGUGCCUCCUACUGGCCCAACACCACUUCCAGCAGCAUCUGGUCUCCCAUCCAGGAACUGACCAGGACCAACUCUGCUUAGCUUCAGAAACAAACCAGCAGUGGUAUGCAGGGUGGUAUGCUGCUGGCCCAUCUGGACAAGACCCAUUUGUGUCCAAGCUUUAACUUCCUGACUGAUGUUUUGAGAUGUUGCUUCAAUAUAGCCACAUCAUUUUCCUUCCUCAUGAUGCCAUCUGCCACCCCAGUGCUUCACGGUUGGGACGGUGUUCUCCAAACAUGACGAUGGUCAUUAUGGCCAAACAGUUCUAUUUUUGUUUCAUCAGACCAGAGGACAUUUCUCCAAAAAGUACAAUCUUUGUCCCCAUGUGCAGUUGCAAACCGUGGUCUGUCUUUUUUAUGGCGGUUUUGGAGCAGUGGCUUCUUUCUUGCUAAGCGGCCUUUCGGGUUAUGUCGAUAUAGGACUCGUUUUACUGUGGAUAUAGAUACCUGUACCUGUUUCCUCCAGCAUCUACACAAGGUCCUUUUGCUGUUGUUCUGGGAUUGGUUUGUACUUUUCGCACCAAAGUAUGUUCACCUCUAGGAGACAGAACGCGUCUCCUUCCUGAGCGGUAUGACGGAUGCGUGGUCCCAUGGUUUUUAUACUUGCGUACUAUUGUUUGUACAGAUGAACGUGGUACCUUCAGGCAUUUGGAAAUUGCUCCCAAGGAUGAACCAGACUUGUGGAGGUCUACAAUUAUUUUUUCUGAGGUCUUGGCUGAUUUCUUUAGAUUUUCCCAUGAUGUCAAGCAAAGAGGCACUGAGAUUGAAGAUAGGCCUUGAAAUACAUCCACAGGUACAACUCCAAUUGACUCAAAUGAUGUCAAAUUGCUUCUAAAGCCAUGACCUUAUUUUCUGGAAUGUUCCAAGCUGUUUAAAGGUACAGUCAACUUAGUGUAUGUAAACUUCUGACCCACUGGAAUUGUGAUGCAGUGAAUUCUAAGUGAAAUAAUCUGUCUGUAAACAGUCGUUGGAAAAAUGACUUGUGUCAUGUCCUAACUGACUUGCCUUAACUAUAGUUUGUUUACAUGAAAUUUGUGGAGUGGUUGAAAAACAAGUUUUAAUGACUCCAACCUAAGUGUAUGUAAACUUCCGACUUCAACUGUACAUAUAUAUAUAUAUAUAUAUAUAUAUAUAUAUAGUGCACUACCUUUGACCAGGUCCCAUAGUGCACUAUGUAGGGAAUAGGAUGCUAUUUGAGACACAUCCUAUUUCACUAAAAUCAAUCAUUCUUUAUCUCUGUCUCGGACUAGGAUAUGACAUCGUCAAAAUGCCUCAGUGUUUUGUUUACCACCACAAGGGUUCCGUCUAUUGCAGAGGCAGGGCAUCACCACGGUAACAUCAGAGAGAGCUAGGGCUGGGCUCUAGUCAGCCUAGUCAAGAGUCUGCAUGAUCAAGCAUCAUGAUCUGUCUAUGCAAUCGGGACUGUAGGGAGAGAUGGAGAGAUAAGAGGAUGCAGGGGAAAGAGAGAGAGAGAGAGAAGGAAGCAGGAGAGGGAGUAAGAGAGAGAAUGAAUGAGAUACAGAGAGACACACAGAAAGAGGAAGAAGAGAGAGAGAGAGGGAAAGAGAAGGAAGAGGGGAGGGAGAGUGAAAGAGAGGAGGGAGAGUGAAAGAGAGGGAGAAGGAAAGGAGAUGGAGAGAGAAGGAAGAGGGGAGGGAGAGUGAAAGAGAGGGAGAAGGAAAGGAGAUGGAGAGAGAAGGAAGAGGGAGAGUGAAAGAGAGGGAGAAGGACAGGAGAUGGAGAGAGAGAGCCAGAGAGAGAAAGAAGGGAGAUAAACGAGCCAGGGGAGUAAAGUACAUUUAGUUAAGUUACAUUCUCCUGAGGAUAGAAAAGGGAACAUACACACACACAGUGUUGCUGUAGAUUCCCUUCCCUUUAUCUCUAGUGACCUAACUUGAACGCAGCUCCCCCUCCUCCCUCAUCGCCCCCUUUCUCUCUUCCCUCUCCUCCACCACUUCCUCCCCCCUCU